rnacentral:miRNA from 1 species
AUCAUUGAGUAAACUUUGACCCGGAACCACACAGUCAGCAGACACUUCCUGGGAGGGAGGGUCUGCUGCUGAUUGGGUGGAAUGUGUCUGCUGGCUGUGAGGUUCCGGGUCAAAGUUUACUCAAUGAU